UAAUAGCGUAUAUUAAAGUUGUUGCAGUUAAAAAGCUCGUAGUCGGAUUUCGGGCUCGGGCAGGCUGUCGGCCUCGGUCGGACGGCAGGCUCGGGCCUUUCUGCCUGGGGACUCCGUCACACUUAACUGUGGGGCGGUUGGACGCAGGCCGUUUACUUUGAAAAAUUAGAGUGUUCAAAGCAGGCCUACGCUUGAAUACAUUAGCAUGGAAUAAUGGAAUAGGACUUUGGUGCUAUUUUGUUGGUUUAUGGGACCGAAGUAAUGAUUAACAGGGACAGUUGGGGGCGAUUAGUAUUUAAUUGUCAGAGGUGAAAUUCUUAGAUUUCCGGAAGACGAACUACUGCGAAAGCAUUUACCAAGGAUGUUUUCUAUUAAUCAAGAACGAAAGU
rnacentral:rRNA from 1 species